rnacentral:rRNA from 1 species
GAGUUGUAAACUGCUUUUGUACGAGGGUAAACGCUCUUACGUGUAAGAGCCUGAAAGUAUCGUACGAAUAAGGAUCGGCUAACUCCGUGCCAGCAGCCGCGGUAAUACGGAGGAUCCAAGCGUUAUCCGGAUUUAUUGGGUUUAAAGGGUGCGUAGGCGGUUUGAUAAGUUAGAGGUGAAAUACCGGUGCUUAACACCGGAACUGCCUCUAAUACUGUUGAACUAGAGAGUAGUUGCGGUAGGCGGAAUGUAUGGUGUAGCGGUGAAAUGCUUAGAGAUCAUACAGAACACCGAUUGCGAAGGCAGCUUACCAAACUAUAUCUGACGUUGAGGCACGAAAGCGUGGGGAGCAAACAGGAUUAGAUACCCUGGUAGUCCACGCAGUAAACGAUGAUAACUCGCUGUCGGCGAUACACAGUCGGCGGCUAAGCGAAAGCGAUAAGUUAUCCACCUGGGGAGUA